CGGAACGGGUGAGUAAUACAUCGGAACGUGUCCGCUCGAGGGGGACAACCAGCCGAAAGGUUGGCUAAUACCGCAUGAGUUCUACGGAAGAAAGAGGGGGACCCGCAAGGGCCUCUCGCGAGCGGAGCGGCCGAUGACUGAUUAGCCGGUUGGUGAGGUAACGGCUCACCAAAGCAACGAUCAGUAGCUGGUCUGAGAGGACGACCAGCCACACUGGGACUGAGACACGGCCCAGACUCCUACGGGAGGCAGCAG
rnacentral:rRNA from 1 species